AUGAAAGAAAUCACCACACAAAGACAUUAAUCUUCUCCUAAUUAGUAAUAAUCCAAUUUAGCUUUAAUAGUGCCUCAAUGUACAAGUUUGCUAGUAUUUUCUUCUUUCUUCUCUUGGUCAUGUCUAUUGUUGACAUAUUUGAAACUUCAAAAUUGAAAGUUAUGGAAAAUGUGUGCGAUCAACCUUGUAACACAGACCUGGAUUGCUUUAGUAUGGCCAUUUUUGUUUGCCCUCUAUGUAAAGAGAAAACUAAUCCAAUUGAUGGCUUUACAACCAAGGCAUGUGGCUUCUUAUUUUGAUAUGAAGAAUAUCGAAAAUUUUGGGACGGAGGAAAUAUACUUUCUCCGUCCCAAAAUGUACUUUGUAUUAUUUAUGUGUAUUUCUAAUAAAGUUGUGUUGUUGAUCUUUCUUCGA